UGAAUAUGUCGAAUGUUCAAUUCAAUAAGUAUGCAGAUAAUUGAGUUCAGUGGAAUAGAACCACCACAAUGGAUAGAACCACCUAAGAAAAGCAAAGAAAAAACCUAGUGUAUGAACAGUAGAGAUCUCGGACAAGAUAUGUCAAGUGGCAGCAAGAUCUUUGGUUAUUGAAGCCAACUUGUGGAAAUGAUACCUUGUUACUGGUCCUGUUCAGCUUAUCCAUCGUUAUCAAAACUUAAUCAAACAAUGUCAAAUUGAACUUGCCACUAUACAAACUUCCAUUCAACGAUUCAAAAUGGCGCAAUCUUCAACUCCACACCAUCAUCAAUGGGUAUUUCUUUUUAAUUUUAAUUUCUAAUAUAAUAAAUGUCUUCUAAUUUUAUGCUUAUGCAGGACCAAAUUGAAAAUACAGCAGGGACUAGUAAGGACCAAAAUGAA